rnacentral:tRNA from 1 species
UGGUAAUUAGUUUAGCAUAAAAUAAAUGAUUUCGACUCAUUAGACUAUGAUUAAAUUCAUAAUUACCAA